AACUUUCAACAACGGAUCUCUUGGUUCUGGCAUCGAUGAAGAACGCAGCGAAAUGCGAUAAGUAAUGUGAAUUGCAGAAUUUAGUGAAUCAUCGAAUCUUUGAACGCACAUUGCGCCCGUUAGUAUUCUAGCGGGCAUGCCUGUUCGAGCGUCAU
rnacentral:rRNA from 1 species